rnacentral:lncRNA from 1 species
UUUGACUGUGUGAGUGUGGAGGCCAGCGUUCUGCAAGCCCUGGGCCUGCCUGCAUCUCCUUCGUGCCUCGUGGAAGCUAAUGUUGCCAGUGAAGUGCGCACACCUCCUCUUCUCCCUCAGCCAUGGGACUGCUCAGGUCUGGGAACAGCUGCCUUGUGGAGAGACUACAUUUUCCAAACUUCUCUUGCAGCUAGGAAUGACCCCCUGAGCUGUGAGCAUAAACUGUAGGAGGGGCUGCCGGGAACAUCUCUGCAGGAUCCCGUCCUUCCUACAUUCUGCCUGGAACUCAGAUGUCUAGAGCUGCAGAGACCAUCUUGAUCCCAGGGGCAACGCUUCACGCUUCACGCAUAGUAGCAAACCCAAAAGACAAAAGGCAUUGAGUCCCGUUGGUGGCAGAGGAGGAGCCUCACCGGUCCUUGCUGACCCUGCUCUGCACUUGUUUGUGUGAAGAAAAGAAAUCCCUGUUCAUUGAGACCAUUGUCACUAGGUUUCCUGUUACUGGCAGCUGAAUACAUUUCUGACACAUUUGCUCAAACGGCACGGAGCUCACUGGGCCUCUUUGUCACCUGUGUUUCUCAGGGGUGGCCUAGUGCUUCCUCGUCUGGGCUGUUCUGCUGACACCGUUCCCCAGAGAAGAGAAAAGGUCUCUGUUAGAUGAGGUGGCAGGGUUGAUUCAAUUCAUUUGAAUUACAGAAGUCAUGUGUGAAGGUGUCUCCAGAUGGCUCUGGAGUCCUCAGCAUGCUUCAGGUCAGGCGUGACCCAGGCCCUUGGGCUGGGUAGAAACUUCUCGGCUGGCUUCAGCUGGCUUCAGACCCUGCUUUCCCACCCUAGUCCAGAAAGGGGGCCCACGAGUGUCAGAGAGGUUUAGGCCCUUCUGUGGCGCUUAGAGCAUGUUGUCAACUGUUGUCACCUGGAAUGACCUCUUUGCCCUAAGCUCCAGCCACCAGCACCUGCUCCCUGGAGAUGCCAGCCUGCCAGGGCUAGAAGGCACCUUCGUCAGGCACAAGGGCCAGCCCACCAAGAUCGCUGUGGGGCGAGUCAGGAGGCCAGGGAGCUGGCAGGGUAAGUUAUUAUUUUUAUAGCUGUCACCAGAUCCCUGGCCCAGCCCUGCAGCCCUGGCAGGGACAGAGGCAGCCUGGGAGAAGGAGGGAGCCUUAGAGGCUUGGUAGUCAGGGCAGGGGCUGUGGAGAAGGGAACACCAGGGCAGGUCAGGGCCUGCUGGGCCUCGGCUUCUCCUGCUCCAUGGGGUGAAGGGCUGGUGACUGAUACACAGACAUGGCAUCUCUUGCCUUCGUCCCUGACCCCAGGCAUGUGCCAUGAGGUUCUCCCAGGCCAUUCCAAGGACUGCAUUGCACCCUGCUCGAGUCCCCUUAGGCCUACUCCAAGACCAUGUGUGACUUCCUUUACAGCCUCAUCCUGUCUGUCCAUGUGGCCAACUCCUGCUGUGGAUUCCUCUUCCUUAGUCUACCAUCACACCUGCAAAGGCACUUAGCUGUCCCCGCCGGGGGCCUCAAAGGGCCAAGCCAAUGCCUAAGAGCCCCUCCCUACACCCAGGUUAUCAGUACUCUGAUUUUGUUGUUAGGACAGUAUGGCAUGUAGCCCAGGUUACCCCUAAAAUGCUGAUCCCCUUGCCUCUAUUUCUGGAGUGCUGGGAUUAGAGACCUAAUUAUGCCAGUUUCAUGAAAUGUUGGGGAUUGAACCCCUGACCUCAUACACACUAGACGAGCUGCAUCCCCUGCCACUGUACCGUGAGUUGUGAUAACAAGAACUUGUUCACCCAUUUCUGUGAAUUGUGUUAAAGGAAUCCCAUGCUUGGUCCCCAACUCCAACUUCACAUUUCUCUAAGUGGCAGUGUGUGACUUGCUAGUCCUUUUUAUUGCUGAGUGGCCACUCAUUUAAUAGCUUGGGGACAAUUUGGUUUCCAUCUGGGCUCUUUAGGGAUGGCUGAGAUGGAUACUGUACAAACAUGUAGUCCAAAGUGUGUGUGUGUGUGUGUGUGUGUGUGUGUCUGUCUGUCUGUCUGUCUGUCUCUGUGUUAAAAAAACACUUGUCAUCUUGAAAAAGAUUGAAGAUUUAUAGGAAAAUGACAAACUUGGGCAUAUUUCAUCUGGACUGGGAAUAAAUCAUUGAGUUCUCACCAGUCCUUCAUUAUUUAUUUCUCAUAAACUUUUUGUUGGUGCUGGAGAGAGGGCACAGUCAUUAAGAACACUGGCUGCCCUUUCCAGGGGACCUGGGUUCAAUUCCCAGCACCCACAUGGCAGCUCACAACUGGAGUCUGUAAUGUCAGUUCCAGGGGACCAUCACACAGACAAAUAUGCCAGCAAAACACCAAUGCACAUAAAAUAAAAAUAGGUAAAUCUAUUAAAAUCUUUGUUUCUUGGUGGGCAGUGAUGGCACACAGUUUUAAUCCCAGCGCUUAUAGGGCAGAGGCAGGUGGAUCUCUGUAAAUUCAAAGGCAGCCUGGUCCACAGAGCAAGUUCCAGGACAGCCAGGACUGCACAGAGAAGCCCUGUCUCAAAAAGCC